rnacentral:rRNA from 1 species
CUUUGAAGUGUGGACGCCAGUCUGCAUGGAGCCGACCUUGAAAUACCACCCUUUAAUGUUUGAUGUUCUAACGUGGACCCGUGAUCCGGGUUGCGGACAGUGUCUGGUGGGUAGUUUGACUGGGGCGGUCUCCUCCUAAAGAGUAACGGAGGAGCACGAAGGUUGGCUAAUCCUGGUCGGACAUCAGGAGGUUAGUGCAAUGGCAUAAGCCAGCUUGACUGCGAGCGUGACGGCGCGAGCAGGUGCGAAAGCAGGUCAUAGUGAUCCGGUGGUUCUGAAUGGAAGGGCCAUCGCUCAACGGAUAAAAGGUACUCCGGGGAUAACAGGCUGAUACCGCCCAAGAGUUCAUAUCGACGGCGGUGUUUGGCACCUCGAUGUCGGCUCAUCACAUCCUGGGGCUGAAGUAGGUCCCAAGGGUAUGGCUGUUCGCCAUUUAAAGUGGUACGCGAGCUGGGUUUAGAACGUCGUGAGACAGUUCGGUCCCUAUCUGCCGUGGGCGCUGGAGAACUGAGGGGGGCUGCUCCUA